UACGGAGGGUGCAAGCGUUAUCCGGAUUCACUGGGUUUAAAGGGAGCGUAGGUGGGUUGGUAAGUCAGUGGUGAAAUCCCCGAGCUUAACUUGGGAACUGCCAUUGAUACUAUUUAUCUUGAAUACUCUGGAGGUAAGCGGAAUAUGUCAUGUAGCGGUGAAAUGCUUAGAUAUGACAUAGAACACCAAUUGCGAGUACG
rnacentral:rRNA from 1 species